rnacentral:rRNA from 1 species
CCUACGGGAGGCAGCAGUGAGGAAUAUUGGUCAAUGGCCGGAAGGCUGAACCAGCCAUGCCGCGUGAAGGUCAGUGCCCUAUGGGCGUUAAACUUCUUUUGUGCGGGAGCAAUAAUGGUCACGUGUGGCCAGACGAGAGUACCGUACGAAUAAGCAUCGGCUAACUCCGUGCCAGCAGCCGCGGUAAUACGGGGGAUGCAAGCGUUAUCCGGAUUUAUUGGGUUUAAAGGGUGCGUAGGCUGGGAGGUAAGUCAGCGGUGAAAUGCCCCCGCGCAACGGGGUGAAGUGCCAUUGAUACUGCCUGGCUGGAAUGCGGAUGCGGUGGGAGGAAUGUGUGGUGUAGCGGUGAAAUGCAUAGAUAUCACACAGAACACCGAUUGCGAAGGCAUCUCACGAAGCCGCGAUUGACGCUGAUGCACGAAAGCGUGGGUAUCAAACAGGAUUAGAUACCCCUGUAGUC